rnacentral:rRNA from 1 species
UACGAAGGGUGCAAGCGUUAUUCGGAAUUAUUGGGCGUAAAGCGCGCGCAGGCGGAUUGAUAAGUCAGGUGUGAAAUCUCGAGGCUCAACCUCGAAACUGCGCCUGAAACUAUUAGUCUAGAGUGUUGAAGGGGGUAGGGGAAUUUCACGUGUAGGGGUAAAAUCCGUAGAGAUGUGAAGGAACACCGGAGGCGAAGGCGCCUACCUGGACAACUACUGACGCUGAGGCGCGAAAGCGUGGGGAGCAAACAGG